rnacentral:lncRNA from 1 species
AUGAACAAGAGUCAUCUAACCGGAAUGUAGGUACAUCUUCAAAUCCAACUCUCGUCAAACACAUCAACAUCAGCAGCCAAUAUCUGCAUGCAAGGUGCAGAAGUGUAGUAUGAGAACAAUCGACCCCAUGUACUCUAUAAGUAACAAACGUAACCUUAGGUUGAAAGUAGUGACGAGCAUGAAUAAAGGGCGGAGUCCAACACCAAUCGCCAACCACAGUUCAUAACAACAUAAUGAAAGUAAUAAAAGAAGCAACUCAAAGAUAAAAUGCUCAGAUCAUCAUCAGUUCAAGAAAAUUAGGUGUGCUUUUCAGGUAUAUCUGUGAAAACCCAAAUCAUUUACCGAAAUUGCCAAAAAUAUGAGUAAGUUUGAAAAAUAAAGUUUUCUGAAAAAGAUUUCAACAGGUAAUUAUUUUAUUUUCAAAUGGCAUGAGGAAAAUACAUCUCUAUGCCUAUAUAUCAGUAUGUGUGAGAAUCAUAAAUGGCGUAAUACCGUAGAAUAGGAGGAAAAAUGCAUCUCAUUGCUUAUAUGUCAAGUGUGUAUGUCAAAUGAGAUGAGACUCUAUGAUAAAACCAUAUACAUACUCUCAGAGUAUCAAUUCACUCAGUCAACCUAGUCACUCAGUCCUCAUAGUGUCACGCCCCAAAAUUCAACUAGUCGUGAUGGCACCUAACACAACCCACUAGGUAAGUCAGCUUGAUGACCCGAUAGGUCAUCUUAUGUUUUAAAACUUAUAUGUGCUUUGAAGACUUAAAUACCUCAUCUUAGACCUCCUCGAUUUACAUGCAUAGUAUGGGUAUUUUUCCGAAAAGUUUUUAUGUUAAAAAUUGAGAAAAUAUAAAAAUUUUGCCAUAAAUUAUAUUUGAGUUGCCAUCGGUCAAUAUUUAGAUCAAACGGAUCCGGAUUUGUAUUUAAUAGUCCUUGUGGGUCUGUAUCGUUAUUUGGGACUUGGGCGUAUGCUCGGAAUCAACUUUGGAAGUCCUUAGCCCGAGUUAUCGCACUUUGUUAAAAUUUGAAAGUUUAAAAACUUAAUGACUUUAAAAGUUUGAACAAUAUUUGUCUUUAUUGAUAUCAAGUAUGUAUUUUAGUUCUGGAAUCCGGUAUUGGUACAAUACUAUACUUAUGACUUGUCUGUGAAAUUUUGUGAGAAAUGAAAUUGGUUUGAUAUGAUUCGGAUGUCCGGUUGUAAAAUAGAAGUUCAUGAAGUUUCUUGAAAAUUUCCUUUGAUUCGAUGCUAAAUUCUUAGUUCUAGGUGUUACUUUGGGCAUGUGGUCACACGAUCAAGUUAGUAUGAUAUUGUUGGGCUUGUGUGCAUGUUUGGUUUGGAGCCCUGUGGGCUCGCUUGAGUUUUGGAUAUGCAACAGAGUGAGUUUGGACUAAGAAACAUAGCUGAUGCAUUUUAGUUCCGGUGUAUGUUGUAGGUCUCGCAUUUGCGAGAUAUGGCUCUCAUUUGAGAGCCUGAGCAAGGCAGAGGGUACCUGCAUUUGCGUGGUAAAUGUUCGUAUUUGCAAACUUGUCAAUUCUGAUUUUGUGAAGGCAUAGUCUUAUUUGCAACUCAGCACCUUUUAUGAUGAUAUUCGCAUUGCGAAGAAGGGUCCGUAUUUGCGAAGGCAUCAGGGUUCCCAUUUGCAACCACUUUAUUGCAAAUGCGAUUUUUGGGAUUUUUGAAAGAGUUCACAAUUGCGAACUCUUUCUCGCAAUUGCGAUGUUCGUAAUUGCAAAUAGGACAUCACAAUUGCGACAUCUACAACUGUGUAAAACUUGAGUUAGAUCGUCUUUUUGUUCAUUCUUUAAAUUUUCAAAAUGAGAACACCCUAUAGGCGAUUUUCCCAAAUUUUCUAGAUUCUAUUGGUUCGGAGGCUUUCUUGAAAGGCAAAGUUGUGGUUGAGCUUUAAAUUGAUCCUUGGAGCGAGGUUAGUAUCAUGGUUCACCUUGACUUGAGGGAUUAGGACUUGUUUGUCUAAUUGCUACAAGUUUAGAUGUUAGGUACAACAUAUUUGUGAGAUGACGAGUACUUAUGCGUUGUUGUUGGGUUAAAGUGUACGGGUGGGAUUGUACUUUGUAAUUUAUUGCUUACUUCGAUCAUGUUAUCCAUGCUUUGACUAGUUACCUAUUAUAUUGAUCAUUCUUACUGCAUUGAUGGGCUUUUGUUAUAAUUGAGUAUUGUUUCUAAAGUUGAUAUUUUUAUUGAGGAAUCAUUGUUGACGUAAGGCUUGUUCUUGUUAUACUAUCUCCUCAAUGUUACUUGUUCAUUGUUCUAUGAUAAGGGAGAGUGUUAAUGCACAAAGGCUGAUGUCGUGUCAUAUGUGAGUGUUAAUGCAUGAAGGAUGACACCGUGCCAUAUAGUGUGUGUUAAUGCAUGAAGAGUGAUGGCGUGCCGUGUUGUGAGAGCUAAUGCAUGGAGGGUGAUAUCAUGUCAUGUGAUGAGAGUUAAUGUACGAAGAGUGAUGACGUGCCAUAUCUAUUGAUUAUACUAAAAGUAAGAGUAAAAGAACGAAAGGUGAUGCCAUGCAGUAUCAUUGUUACGUUGUGAGGUUAAGAGUAAAAGCACGAAUGAUGAUGCCGUGCAAUUUUCUUCAUUGGGCUUAUUUGUUUUUACUAGUUUAAGGCAUAUGAUUGUUCUGGUUAUCAUUUCCAUUGUAUUUCUUGUAUAUUGUACCCCAUUUAGCAUGUCCCCCUCCUUAUAGUACAUGUUUAGUUUUUAUGUGAUGUCAUCUUGUACGUAUACUAUUAUCUACACAUGUUUAUCACUUGGGUGUCUUUUUAUAGCCUCAUCACUACUUCGUCGAGGUUAAGCUCGACACUUAUGGAGUACAUAGGUCGGUUGUACUCAUACUACACUCUCCACUUCUUGUGCACACUUUUGUACCAGCCCUAGCUGUUUGUGAGGCGUAACAACUUGGAUUUGCUCACUAGAGACUCGGGGUAGAUCUUCUGGCGUCUGCAAACAUUGAAGUCCCCUUCUAUUUUCCCUAUUUCACUAUUUCUUUUCGUUCAAAACUGUUGUAUUUCUUUUCGACUCUAUUUAUAAAAGAUCCAUAUCCAGUUUGUAUUAGAUAUUAUCGACUCUUAUGUUAUCCCGCUCUCAAAUUUAGCUUCUACUUGGCUUAAUUGAUAUUGUUAUUGAAAUUUACUAAAAUUGGCUUAUGGAAUCCUUUAUCGUAGGCUUGCCUAGCAAGUGAAAUGUUAGGCGUCAUCACGGUCCCAAAGGGGGAAUUCCAAGUUGGGAAAACCAGUUAACAAUAAAACCAGUUCAAAUGAUACUUAUUAAGAGAAAAACGAUAAUAAAACGGCUCUUAUACAAAGAAUUCCCAAGGGGUCGUAGUACAAAUCAUGAGUUUCUAAGAUUAGAACUUUACAAAGCUGGUAUGGAUUAAGUACAUUCUUUGUUCGAAAUGUAGAUAAACAGAAUUUUAUGAAUCAAAGGGUACCAUGAACAAGAGGCAGCUACUACCAGAACGUAGGUAUGUCUUCAAUCCCAGCUCCCAUCGAUCACAACAACAUUAGUAGGCAACAUUUGCACGCAAGGUGCAGAAGUUUAGUAUGAGUACAACUGGCCCCAUGUACUCAAUAAGUAACAAACUUAAUCUUAGAUUGAAUGUAGUGACGAGCUGGAACAAAGGUCAGGUUUAAUACCAAUAGCCAACAACAUUCCAUAACAACGUAAAACAAGUAAUAAAAGGAAGUAACUCAGAUAUAAAAUGCUCACCUACUUAGUCAUGAUUUUUGAAAAUAGCUCUGCUUUUCAAGAAUAUCAGUGGUAACCUAAGCCUCUUACCGAAAUUUACCAAAAAUAUGAGUAAGCUUGAAAAACUAUAAUUAUUCCCAAAAAUCCUUUCAACAGUGAAUAAGAUCUUUCAUUUUCUUUCCAGAUAGCAAGUGUAAAAGACAUCUUUAUGCUCAUAUGUCAAUAUGUGUGAGAAGUCAUGAAUGACACGAUAUCGUACAACAUAAGGAAAAAGGCAUCUCUAUGCUUGUAUGUCAAGUAUGAAUGCCAAAUGCGAUGCAAAUCAGGGACAAACCCAUAUGCAUACUCUCAGAGAUUUAAUUCAGUCGGUCUUCCCAGUCACUCAGUUCUCAUAGUCACUCAGUCCUUAUAGUCACUCAGCCUUCACUGACACUCAAUCCUUACAGUCACUCGAUCCUCCCAAUCACUCAGUAAUCGCACUCGAUAAUGACCACUCACCACUCGGCACUCGCACUCGAUAACAAGCCAAUCAUGGCAUAAAUCACUAAAACAUGUUGCGGCGUGCAACCCUAUCCCCAUAAACUUUCUCACAAUCAGCCUCAAACCUCGCUCAAUUAUCAAUCUCACUAAUCUCUCGGGCUAUAAAUCUCAUGAAAUAUAAGACCAAAAAUAAUGAUGUGAUAUAUCAAUAAAUACUAACAGAAACUAAGAUAUAAUAUGCAUAUGAAUACGUAUGACUGAGUAUGUAAUGCAAUGAAAGCAAAUAGCUCAACAAUAGAAAUGACCUCAGUGGAUUCCAACAGGAUAAGAAUGUAGCCUAGACAUGGAUUCUAUCAUGGAUCACAACUCAAUAGCUCAAGUAACGGAGUCACAAUUCAUACGAUGCAUGCCCAUACGUCCGUCACCUAGCAUGUGCGUCAUCUCAAUACCAAUCACAUAACAUGUAACUUGGGGUUUCAUACAUUCAGUCCCAAGUUUAGAAGUGUUACUUACCUCGAACUAGUAAAUUCCACUGCCGAGCAAGCCAAGUGAUGCUCCAAAAAUGCCAUCUCGUGUGUACUGGCCUCCGAAUGGCUAAAAACUAGCCAAAAGAAACUCAAAUACAUCAAUUAAGGCCCACGGAAACAAUUUCCAAAUGAAAAUGGUAGAAUCCUUACUCAGAAGCCCAAAAACCAUCCCAAAUGUCCAACCGACCGCACCUCGGAACCAAAAAAUCUCACCAAAUUCGACAUUCCAUUCAAUUACGAGUCCAUCCAUACCAGUUUCACUCAAAUCCAACUCCGUAUUGAUGUUCAAAACCCAAAAAUUCCCAUUAUAAAACUUUAGGAAAAACACCCCAAUUUUCAUCUAAAAAUACUAAUUAAAUGAUGAAAAUAAUGAUAUAUUCAUGUAUAUUAACCAAAUCCGAGUUUCAAUCUCUUACCCCGAUGAAUUUCUUGAAUACCCCACAAAAAAUCACCAAAACCUGAGCUCUCAAAGUUUUAAUGUGAAAUAAUACUCUAACCCUCGUUUAUAUAGUACAAAAUCUGACCUCCCAUAGUGUUGACUGCACAUUUUUUUGUGCGGCCACACAUCCUAGGUGUCGUGACCGCAAGUCCAAAUUGUGUGGACGCACUUCCAUAGAGACCGCACUACCAAGCUUCAGUAAAAUACACAUAACUUUCUGUACAGACGUCUAAAUAAUGAUUGGUUUACCUUUCUGGAAACUAGACUCAAAGCCUACAAUUUUUGUUUUUGGAUCAUCCUCAAAUUCCUUAUUGAUCAAAAUAUAUAAGCUUCCGAAGUCAAACCAUCGAACCUUCACAACCCCCUUUCUGGGACCGUGAGAAAAUUCUGCAUUUUAACUGCGGUCCGCACAAUUACCACUGCCUCCACAAUUUGGGAGUCUACGGCCGCACAUCGGCAUUUCAAAAUGUGCCCCGCAUCCCCAAAAGCUCUAAAAGAUCUUAAAUAUCCAAACUUGUUCAAAACUUAUCCCGAAACAAACCUCGAUCCACUCGGGACCCUUUCCGAAUAUACCAACAAGUCCCGUAACAUAAGGCGUACCUACUCGAGGCCUUAAAUCACACAUUACAAUAUCGAAUGAUGAAUUACACCUUAAUUCAAACUUGAUGAACUUUUAACUUUUCAACUUCCAUAACUCGUGCCGAAACAGAGCAAACCAAACCAGAAUGAACCUAAAUUUUUCACACAUGUUCCAAAUGAUAUAAUGAAGUUAUUCCAAUUUCCGAAACCUUAUUCUGAAUCUGAUAUAAAAAAUUUCACUCCCGAUCAAACUUUCUAAAACCAUACUUUCACUAUUUCAAGCCAAAUUCAACUACAGACCUCCAAACCCCAAUUCAGACACGCUCCUAAGUCAAAAAUCACCCAACAUAGCUAACCGAACUAUUAAAACUCCAAUCCGAGGUCAAAUACUAAAAAGUCAAACGCGGUUAACUCUUCCAAUUUACAGCUUCCAAGUUGAAAAUCAUUCUUCCAAAUCAAUUUCGAAUAACCUGAAAACCAAAACCGAUGAUUUAUAUAAGUCAUAAUACAUCAUAUGGAGAUACACAUGCCCUCAGACCAGCGAGCAGAGUGCAAAUGCUCCUAGUGAUCGGUCGGGUCGUUAUAUCCUCCCCCAUUUAAACAUACAUUAGUCAUCCAACGUGCCCAGAGUUGUUCCAAAGCCGACAAAUCGCCUUGUAACCUUACCAUGAACACAACCGGGGUUGACACCAUUUCACCCUAUUCCAUAUAGGCCUGUCAACACAACAUAACUAACGAUCAUUAAUUUAACCUUAGCCCGUAAACCACAGAAUCUGAUUUCCAACAUCUAGAAAUUCUUAUAAGAUCUGAAUCUCGCAUCUAUAACUUGUAUAAGUCAAAGCUGUAUAAAGCCACAACCACAACCCAAGACACAAUCACAAGAUAUACCACACAGGUCAAUUACCCAUAGAAAAAUUUCUGAUCACAGUAGUUGCUCAAAAUAACCCAAUUCUAGUAAUAAACCUCAUAUCAAACAAAAUCUUAUGCUAAAACCUUCGUACACUGCCGGUGAUGAAAUAAUCAUGCAAAUCUCAUAACCACUCACUAGAUCAACAAAUCGUGGAACUUUCCCUCCUUGUACAAGAGCUUUAGCCAAUUUCUAAAUCGACUUUUGAUAUUGUCCUUUCAAAUAUACUGCAAUUUGAUCUGACAGCACCCAUCCUAGGUUUGAGGACCUCAUCCUAUCAAAUACCAACUACUCUACUAACCUGCCACACCAAUACUAUCUAGAGCCACAAACCGUGCAAUAUAUACGCAAUAAUUCAAUAUUGUCAAACAAGGAAAAUGACUCAAACAAGAGAGUCAUCCCGCACGUUCAACAAGUAACACUAGAAUGCAAUGCUUAAAAAUCCAUCACACACCGUGGAACCCUAAAACAUGAAUCUAACACAAAGGACCAUACCUUAAUAUAACUCCGCUAUAAUGUGCUACCCCAUCCAACUGCUGGUCCAUAUUAUAUAACUCGAGCCAGCUUGCUCAAAAUCAAUAACCAUGCGAAAUUCAACAUCAAUUGCCCAAAGUGCAUUACCAUAACGACGGAAAGAAAAUAACACAAUACCACAAUCCGGGAAGAACAUAAUCGAUGCGCAAUCAAUCAUUUGGAAGCCUAAUACCCAUCUCGCUCAAAUUCUUUCAUAAGGACAAAAUAGAACCGCACCAUAUGUGCAUAUAGUUAACGAAUCACAACCCCUCGUGGCACACGAAUAAGCUCAUCUCCAACCAAAUGGAACAUUCCUCAACAAUAGCAGUACGAAGUCUACCAAUCUGACCCAAUGUAGAAUACAUAUCCUAAUUGGGCCUACCAGUAGACCCCAAAUCAACUCCGAUCAUAAAAAAAUAGAUAAAUAACCCUCCAAAAGUUUAGGAUGACUAAAUCAUAACAGAUACUAUCAUCUGGAUAGCUUUGGCCACAUUUUCACAGUCCACAACCAUAAAACAAUCUGCUAACAAUAUGCUUAUGAUAAUUUUCGAUCUCUAAACCUACAGAAUCAAUGAAUCACCUUAUCUGAUCCAACUCCACCGCUCGAAUGUCUAACAACUCUCUCAUACACAAUCAUCCCACGAUGGAUACUUUUGUAAGUUUUUGUUCCACAUAGAAAAAUCUAAAUACCAGCAGUCGAUCAGCCAGGAAAGUGCUGCAAUACCAAUGAAGUAUCCAUAAAUCAAAUCACAGUGCGGCUUUUGAAACAUACACUCUCAUCGAUCAAUACCGAAUAGUAAUAGCAUUUACCUAUUUAUCUGAAACCAUCCAUGCUGCUUUGAGAAUUUUAUGACCUUCCCUUCAAAACCGAACCGUGAAGUUGCUUAUGCAAAUAUCGAUCCCACACAACACACCGCAUAUACCAUGCCAUCAUAUGAAAAGUGCAAGAAUCUCAUAGUUUACCCCGUGGCACAAGCAAACUAUAUACCCAAUUAGCUAGGUUCCUUUAAUUUUAUCUCGUCUAGUAGAAAAUGACAAUACGCAAUAUGUUCCUCACGCUAAUAAGAAAUAUCCACCUCAAACUACGAUAAAAAUCGUUGAUAACUCUUUGAAACCCAUUUUCACAUAACCAGGGCAUCAAAACUGAAUCUUUCUAACUCAACCAACCCACGCAGGUCGCCAAACCCAAGAUUAUUACCACAAAACACUUUUAAGAGACUUAUCACAUCAUAAGUACCCAAAGAACCGACCAUAUCCAUUACCAUGUUGAUCUAACCUACUAUCAAGUUAUCAUAUUUCUCUGAGUUCCUUCCGAAUAACCCUCAAGUUGACACUUCACCUUGCCAGAACACCAUGAUCUUUAACCAAAAUUCACCCCACGAGAUCCUAGAAUAAAAUCACAUCGUUCAAAGGCCCAUAAGCUGUUGUAUUAACUCUUAGCACCCAAAGUACAACAAUCGAGACACCCACACUAAAGAGACCUUACGUGAACCCAAAAUGGUUUCCUUUACCUCACUGAUGCUAAAAUGUAUAAUCCAUAAUGAUAUAGAAUGAUGAUAGACUCGACAUAAUCUAACUUUAAUCUCACAUUCUAGCCAUAUACAAAUCAAUAGAUGUCUCACUUACUACAUAUAAAUCUUGAAUCCAUUAGAAACAUUCUUGAGAGUCGUCCACUCUACUCAAAUCUCAAUUGCACUGCACAAACAUGCCAAACGACAUGUGCCCUAUUAGCACGACAACACUCAAAGAAGUAAUCCCACCUUAACGUAACCAAGAAAAUUCCUACUCCAUGCACACUACAUCCUUCACGAAUGACCACCAAAUCAUCCCAUGAUUCGCAAAUAACUCAAACUGAAAUAAAAACAACACAUAACCAUGCCAUCAACUAGUCGAUAGUUGACUCCCCCGCUUGUCUCAAAGUCAUAGAACAAAACACUCAAUAACUCGUAAUACCCAUACUCUAUUACUGCCAUAAUCCAGUGUCGAAGCUCAACACAAUCUUCAUAAGCUCAUGUAACACAAACCAUCUAAUAGCUCAAAUCAUCUACAAAUCUCACAUUUAUCCUCGUGACGGUUUGGUCAACUAUUACAACCGAUUCAAACUCAAGUUGCACGGAUAUAACCCACUGGUAGACAAGACAACCUCCAUACAACAUCAUAAAUUUCACAUAUUCAUAGAUUACCUUGCAGCUUAUAACCCACCUGCUUUGUCUUAAACUGGCAUCUUUUCAUGCCCUUCCAUAGCCACAACUAUUACGCAAUCACUUAAUCUUCCUGAGUCUGAACCCAUCAACAAGACAUGAAACUCCAAUUUGAUUUACAAUUAACCAACAUGAAAGUCCUUAAACACACCCAUAACUCGAGACUAUACAUCAAAUAAAUAUACAAAUAAAACACCAAAUAUUCCUUUUGUUAUAUCCCAAGAAAGCUCUUUCCGUCACAUUCAAACAAUCUAAACACUUCCCGCAGUCACAUCAUACUCCAAUAUAGACAUUUAACAACUCAUCGAGCCACAAAUUCCACUAAUAUGGACACUACCAUACUUAUAAGUCCAAAAGCAUGCGCUCACUCAACCGAAAUCUUUGUGCUAAAGAAAUAGCAAAAACCUGACCUCAAGGCCUUCAGAUCGGCCUCUCCUCACCACACUGAAAUCAAAUCUGGCACCUCAUCCUUGGAAUCACAAGUCAUUGUGCACAACUGAUACCGAGCGCUCACAUGCACAUACGAAUGCAUGGAAUGGAGUUCAAAAAGUUGCGCUUCAAGCUGAUUCACUGUUGCACGAUAAGGAAAGAAAGAUGGAAAGUAUAUCCUAAAUGUCCUGUAUCCUCUCGAAGAUAGGCAUGGAUGUCAUCGUACUGAUCCACAAGAAUCUACUAUAAACUUUCCCAUGACUUGUAGAACCUAUGAACAUAGAGCUCUAAUACCAACUUGUCACGAUCCAAAAUCGAACUAGUCAUGCUGGCACCUAACCCAACCUGCUAGGUAAGCCAGUUAAUAAUAAAACCAAUUCAGAUUAUACUUAUUAAUAGAAAAAAUGUGACAACUUCUUUUUUUGAGAAAUAAUGAAUUUUUUCCAAUUAAAGUGAUAUUAUUCAAAAUGAGAUUAUUUAUUUAAUUCAGAGUCGUCACUUGGGAUAUUUAUUAUGGUGUCCCAAGUCAUCGAUUUAUUUAAAAUCCUAAAUCGAGGACAUUUGAUUCUAUUUGUGGUCCGCGAACACUUAGGAAAUUCUGUUAACUUGGAAGAAUAUGUGAGGUACUCCUGAGUUCCAUGGUUUUAGCAUGAUCAUUCAACUAUUUAAUAAUUGGCAUACUUAUCUGGUGUAUUACAUGUUUAAAUCAAUUGUGCAUUUUUAUCUCUUAACCGCUCUUAAUACUUAUGGAAUUUAUUCAAAUAAGUCAUGAUGUCACGCACUUAUUGUUUUUGUACACAUUGUGAAUCGCGUCACGUGAAACGCACCCACGACCAACAUGUUUAUUUUAAUUAAUAAAAAUUAUGGUCUAGUCGCAUGGAACACACACUUGAAUUGGGAUUUAUGUAUUGUAACUAUUCUAUGGGAACCGUACCCAUAGUCAUGAUUAUUUAUUUAAUUUGACCUAAAGUAAAUUACGAAUAUUCAUGAAUUAUUUUCCUAAAGCUAAUUUGAGAAUAUUGUGAAGGUCAAAUAUUAUGGAAUUGAUAUUGGGUGAAUAUAUAUUUGAAUACUAAAGAAGUAUCACAAAUGGUCAUAACCUGAUUAAUUUAAUGAUGCUCACAUUCUGAUUUUCAUUAAAGAAAAAAAUACAUAUUAGGCGAGAAAGCCAACUAGAACAAUAAGUUUCCAUUUUUACCUUAGUAGAAAAAUUUUGCAUUCAAUACCAAAUGGCAAAUAAAUGCAGAUUGAAAAAAAAAAAGGGCAACAAAUAGUAAGCAAACAAGAUAAUUAUGAGAGUCAAUAUAUUCAAUGCCAGGAGCAACAACAUGAAAUCUUGACGACUCUUUAUUAUGCAAAAGAUGGAGUUGUUACGAGAUACAAAUGUUUUAGAAUAUCUGUAUGGCAGUACAUAGUCUGAGACUAAAAUUAGUACCUUUAAGAAUGAGGGGAUAAGCAAAACGCGGUAGAUGCUAUGUGAUAUGGAACUCAGCUAAGAAAAAAGAACUUCCACAGCAAACAACAAUGAUUUUAACCUUUAGAACUCAAAUGAUGAUAAGUAAUCAAUGACCCGUUGAAAUCCUUUUCAAAUCUGAGUUCUUUUUUUGUUUUUUAAAACAUUUUGCUUCUCAAAUCUCAGCAUUUGGAAAUUCAAACUUUUGUUUUUAGAUUCUAUAGGCGUGUGUAGGAGUGGGACUGAAAAUUUAUGGAUGAGUGUAUCGUGUGUGAGACCAGAUGAGAGAGACGAGAAAGAGUGAAGAAGAGGCUAGGGUUUUGGGUAAAGGGAGGGAGGGAAUCCCUUCUUUCAGAGAGGGGAAGGGGGAAUCGCUAGGGCUAGGAAAAUGGAGAGGGUCUCCAUCUGCUUAAGGGAAUCGAGAUAGGGGGUUCUGGC